rnacentral:rRNA from 1 species
GGUCCAGACUCCUACGGGAGGCAGCAGUGGGGAAUUUUGGACAAUGGGCGCAAGCCUGAUCCAGCAAUGCCGCGUGAGUGAAGAAGGCCUUCGGGUUGUAAAGCUCUUUUGUCAGGGAAGAAACGGACUUUUCUAAUACAGAGGUCUAAUGACGGUACCUGAAGAAUAAGCACCGGCUAACUACGUGCCAGCAGCCGCGGUAAUACGUAGGGUGCAAGCGUUAAUCGGAAUUACUGGGCGUAAAGCGUGCGCAGGCGGUUUUGUAAGACUG